CAGAAAGACAUGACAAUUUUUUUCAUUUAUUAUUCUUAGUCAGCUUUUAAAUUAGUUUAAAAAAACAGUUUUGUAUGACAAGGCCAUGCUAGUAAUAGUUCUACAACACAAGACCAAUAGCUUGACCUUCACUGGCCUAUACAAGGACAAAACUUGACCUGUGCUGGAUUAUGCUGCAAAAAUAAAUUUUUUAAUGACCUAAAUUAGUCCAUUAAAGGAUGGAAAAACUAAAAAAACAAAACAGACAUGGUAGCUGCAAGUCAUUUCUCCCUUUAUGUCUGUAAUAUAAAUAUGUAUAUUUAGAAUAUACUUUGUAUCUUUCUUUGUGUGUUUUGACAAUAUUAUCACUUCCUUAACCAAUAUAUUUAGUUGCCUAUAUUUUAGUUUUUUAAAGUUGUAAAUAUGCUUAUCCAUCUUGAUAAACAUAUGCAUUUUGAAAUUUUUAGGUUUCCCUAAAAACAGCUGCUUCAUUUGUGCUUGUCAGUUUGUGGCUAAAGACAUACAUGGUUGAUUUGUCAACAAAUCCUUUCCAUUUGGUGGUGUCCAUGAUCUGAGAAGGAUGCUACCUUUGUCUUAAACAAGUUUGAUGUGAAUAUCGUUCUUUCUGUUAGAUCUUCAGAUUAGAAGUGUGCCUGCAAGCAUGGAAGGAAGCAGUACUCAGUCACAGGUGCAACACAUUCUUACAGCUGAUCAUCAACGCUGUUUUCUUCUUGUCCAGUAACUGACUUGUCCUAUAAAAAACUAUUUCAAGACGUUAAUUGCUAGAUACAGUGAACAGAUGGUGCUUCUAUGUGGUUUCCAGCCUGGUUGAUCAUUUGUUACUGGCAUUUUAUGUGUAUCAGAUCCUGACACCACCAAUUGAUUAAAAAGUCUUAAAUGUCAUCAGGUCACUCGAUCUUGUGAAACAUUUGAUGACUUAGAAAAAGAAAUUAAUGCAUACACUUUAAGCAUUUAUUUUAGCCUACUCAUUCAUUUUAUGGGUGUGUUAUGUGAAUCAUUUCAAUACCAUAAUAUAUUUUUAAUAGCUGAAGCAUUUUAAUGUCAAACAUACUUGAUACCCCAUCUUUGAAAGCUUAAAGAAGCUGGAAUAUUUAAUCAUUGAC